AUUGAACGCUGGCGGCAGGCCUAACACAUGCAAGUCGAACGAGUGGCGGACGGGUGAGUAAUGUCUGGGAAACUGCCUGAUGGAGGGGGAUAACUACUGGAAACGGUAGCUAAUACCGCAUACUAUCGGAUGUGCCCAGAUGGGAUUAGCUAGUAGGUGGGGUAAAGGCUCACCUAGGCGACGAUCCCUAGCUGGUCUGAGAGGAUGACCAGCCACACUGGAACUGAGACACGGUCCAGACUCCUACGGGAGGAAGCAGUGGGGAAUAUUGCACAAGGGGCUAAAGCCUGAUUCAGCCAGGCCGCGUGUAUGAAGAAGGCCUUAGGGUUGUAAAGUACUUUCAGCGGGGAGGCGUUACCCGCAGAAGAAGCACCGGCUAACUCCGUGCCAGCAGCCGCGGUAAUUC
rnacentral:rRNA from 1 species